GAUGAACGCUAGCGGCGUGUAUAAGGCAUGCAAGUCGAGCGACGUACCUUCCUUCGGGAAGGGAUACGAGCGGCAAACGGGUGAGUAACACGUAGGCAACCUGCCCAUCAGCCGGGGAUAACUGCGGGAAACCGUGGCUAAUACCGGAUAAUCCUCUCCACCGCGGGGUGGGGAGUUGAAAGACGGUUUCGGCUGUCGCUGAUGGAUGGGCCUGCGGCGCAUUAGCUGGUUGGCGGGGUAACGGCCCACCAAGGCAACGAUGCGUAGCCGACCUGAGAGGGUGAUCGGCCACACUGGGACUGAGACACGGCCCAGACUCCUACGGGAGGCAGCAGUAGGGAAUCUUCCGCAAUGGACGCAAGUCUGACGGAGCAACGCCGCGUGAGUGAAGAAGGGUUUCGGCUCGUAAAACUCUGUUGUUAAGGAAGAACGCCAGGUAGAGUAACUGCUACCUGUGUGACGGUACUUAACCAGAAAGCCACGGCUAACUACGUGCCAGCAGCCGCAGUAA
rnacentral:rRNA from 1 species